UACAGAGGUCUCAAGCGUUGUUCGGAUUCAUUGGGCGUAAAGGGUGCGUAGGCGGCGCGGUAAGUCGGGUGUGAAAUCUCGGAGCUUAACUCCGAAACUGCAUUCGAUACUGCCGUGCUUGAGGACUGGAGAGGAGACUGGAAUUUACGGUGUAGCGGUGAAAUGCGUAGAUAUCGGGAGGAACACCAGUGGCGAAGGCGACUUCUUGGCCUGUUCUUGACGCUGAGGCGCGAAAGCUGGGGGAGCAAACGGG
rnacentral:rRNA from 1 species